rnacentral:piRNA from 1 species
UGCAAGAUGGAAAAUUGCUCAAACACUUAAA